UUGUGGAGGGUGGUUCCUGGGACAACGCCCAUGCCGUGAUCAGGAACGGGGUCAGCAGGAGUCAGGUGGGGAAGUGCCAGGUGUCCACUGCCACGACCAACACGUUACUCACACUCACGGCACAAGAAUGGCCUCUGUACCCUGUGUGUAGGCAUAUCCAGGCACAGUCGCUUGUAUGUCUGAGACCUCAAGCUGGAGAGUGCUGAUGGCCAACAUGCUGGUCACCUCUCCACAGUCCUUCCUCCUCCUGGACAACACCCCUGCUCUCUCUGGAUGGUCCUGAGCUAAGCCCGGAAGAGUCAAGGCUAUAAAGAGGGACUGAGAACACCGUGACGCCCUGGCCUGCGCACCCUCCUCUGCUCCAUCUGGGUCUGUCCGGAUGGCAGAGGCUCAGAGGGUCUGCCCCUACCAGAUGGUGGAGGCUCAGAAUGUCUGAGCCAGAAAAAGCAUGAAAGAAAACUUAGCCUUCCUCCUCCCAGUUAACAGAUGGAUUGUGAUCAAACAACUGGGCAGCUUCACCUGGCCGAUGGGACACCUACAGUUAAGCAUCACGGACACCCUCACCCCCCCGCCCCCACAAUCUAACGGGGAUCCCUGUGGCAGAUGCUGUUAGUUCCUUCCCAUAAAGCCCGGAACUUGCAGCGCGCUGUGCAGAUUUCCACCUUCAUCUCUGUGCCUGAGGCUAUUUCUCCAGAGUCCCGGAAGGCUGUUCUGGUGGGCUAGAAAUGCCAAAGACGCAUUACCCUGUGGGAGCGGCCCUCAACCAGUGACUCUUGGUAGCUGGUGGGAAAAUAUCCCAGGCCCCUCGCCCCGCAGCGGGAUGACUCUGAGCUGUGUGCUCUACACUAACUUGCCCCAGGAGGAUUGAGCCCCGGCUGCACGCUGCAUUGCUUGCUCGGUAACACCCUGUGCUGGCUGCUUUCCCUCUCCUGUCUCAUUUCCCCACCCCUUACCAGUACUGCCUGGAUCCCCUUCCAGACAAACGACUUGCCCUUGGCUCCAUGCUCAAAGUCGUCGUCUAGGGAGCUCAAGCUUGGAUGCUCCUUCGUUUUCGCUAAUCACUCUCUGUAUGUCCCCUGGUCUUCUUACAAUGGUAGCCCUUGUCAAAGCUCUAAUCAUCUUGUUUUUAUGUCUGCUUUCUUUCUGCUCACUGGAAGGCUGGGUCCUGAGGGCACAGUGUCCAGCACGGAGGACACACAGUAAAUAUUCCCAGAAGGAGUGAUGGGUGAACGAAUAAAUAGAAUCUCACCCUGCCACCAUGAUUAAAUUCAGCCCCAAACUUACCUGUCCCAUUGUUUCCAUAUCCUGCCACCUCUGAGGCCUAAUCUGAAGAACUGAUUUGUGCCAGUGGACGAGCACUAUUUCUCUAGGUGAGACAUGCAGGUGUCAACAGGAAAUGUCCUGAGAUGUAAUUCUUCAACCCAGGAAGCCACUCCAAUCAAGAGAACAUAAAGCAAUGGUGAUGGGAUGUGGGGGUUCCAUGGGGCUUGGAUGCCCUGAGGAGGGCCUCAAAUCACAGAAUGAUGAAGGUCUUCUGGAUGCAGUGGCAGGGCAGGAGAGGUAUUGCCCUGGGACUCGAGAUGGGACCACAGCCAAUUGCUCACUCAGCCAUGGCCUGUGGGUCUGACACUGGGACCUCACUAACCCUCUUUUAACACUCCUAUCUGUAAGUAGGGAUCAUGACCCACACUUUGCAGGGGUUCUGAUGCUGCAAAAUUCUGGCGCUUUCUACAUGAUAAGGUCUUUGCUCACCAAAUGGAAGAGACUGCGUGCAGGUAGCAUGGGCCUGCCUACUGCAGGUGGGGUGCUUUGGGCUGCAAGUAACAGAAAAUCCAACUCAAAGUGAAUUGUGUGAUAAAGACAAUGCACCACCUCGCUUAUCAUGGUCUGAGUUCCUCCAUGAGGGUUGCCGCCUGGUGCGUCCUCUGUAAGCUCCCUGAAGCAGGGGCCUAGGCUGACCUUUUUUCUCCACUGCCCCCGAGAGCAUAGACCAGGGCCUGGCACAGAGAAGGCGUCCAGUGAGGAUUCCACCCAGGACACCAUCAAACCCUCAUCGCUACAUGGUCUAUUAAGUUGUGUUCCCCCAACAGCAGUUAAAGAAACCAAAGCUUGGCCAGGCACGGUGGCUCACGCCUGUAAUCCCAGCACUUUGGGAG
rnacentral:lncRNA from 1 species